rnacentral:rRNA from 1 species
CGCAGCUUACCAUGCAGUCGAGCGGUAACAGGGGGUGCUUGCACCCCGCUGACGAGCGGCGGACGGGUGAGUAAUGCAUAGGAAUCUGCCCAGUAGUGGGGGAUAGCCCGGGGAAACCCGGAUUAAUACCGCAUACGCCCUUUGGGAGAAAGCAGGGGAUCUUCGGACCUUGCGCUAUUGGAUGAGCCUAUGUCGGAUUAGCUAGUUGGUGGGGUAAAGGCCUACCAAGGCGACGAUCCGUAGCUGGUCUGAGAGGAUGAUCAGCCACAUCGGGACUGAGACACGGCCCGAACUCCUACGGGAGGCAGCAGUGGGGAAUAUUGGACAAUGGGGGCAACCCUGAUCCAGCCAUGCCGCGUGUGUGAAGAAGGCUUUCGGGUUGUAAAGCACUUUCAGUGAGGAGGAAAACCUUCUGGUUAAUACCCAUGAGGCUUGACGUUACUCACAGAAGAAGCACCGGCUAACUCCGUGCCAGCAGCCGCGGUAAUACGGAGGGUGCAAGCGUUAAUCGGAAUUACUGGGCGUAAAGCGCGCGUAGGUGGUUUGAUAAGCGAGAUGUGAAAGCCCCGGGCUUAACCUGGGAACGGCAUUUCGAACUGUCAGGCUAGAG